rnacentral:rRNA from 1 species
AAUCAACGCUGGCGGCGUGCCUCAGACAUGCAAGUCGAACGAUUAAAGCUCUCUUCGGAGAGUGCAUAGAGUGGCGCACGGGUGAGUAACACGUAAGUAAUCUACCUUCGAGUGGGGAAUAACGUCCGGAAACGGACGCUAAUACCGCAUAAUGCAGCGGCAUCGUAAGAUGACAGUUGUUAAAGAUUUAUCGCUUGAAGAGGAGCUUGCGGCAGAUUAGCUAGUUGGUAAGGUAAUGGCUUACCAAGGCUACGAUCUGUAACCGGUCUUAGAGGACGGUCGGUCACACUGACACUGAAUAACGGGUCGAGACUCCUACGGAGGCGAGCAGUCGGGAAGUUUUGGGUCGAAUGGCGGAAAGACCUCGACCACGCACGACCG